rnacentral:rRNA from 1 species
AGGAAUGCGAAUAACGCGCGUUUUUUUCGCAUAACGCCCAACCAUAGGCAUAUUAUGCAAUUUAAGAUCAAGAUUAGUGGCAACAGGACAACCCUUAGCAAGUCUUUCCUGUAUUCUGGAAACACUACCAUCCUCCAAGGCUAAAUACUCCUGACUGACCGAUAGUGAACCAGUACCGUGAGGGAAAGGCGAAAAGAACCCCGGCGAGGGGAGUGAAAAAGAACCUGAAACCGUGUACGUACAAGCAGUGGGA